GACGAACGCUGGCGGCGUGCCUAAUACAUGCAAGUCGAACGAGAGCGACCGGUGCUUGCACUGGUCAAUCUAGUGGCGAACGGGUGAGUAACACGUGGGUAACCUGCCCAUCAGAGGGGGAUAACAUCCGGAAACGGAUGCUAAAACCGCAUAGGUCUUCGAGCCGCAUGGCUUGAAGAGGAAAAGAGGCGCAAGCUUCUGCUGAUGGAUGGACCCGCGGUGCAUUAGCUAGUUGGUGAGGUAACGGCUCACCAAGGCCGUGAUGCAUAGCCGACCUGAGAGGGUGAUCGGCCACAUUGGGACUGAGACACGGCCCAAACUCCUACGGGAGGCAGCAGUAGGGAAUCUUCCGCAAUGGACGCAAGUCUGACGGAGCAACGCCGCGUGAGUGAAGAAGGUUUUCGGAUCGUAAAACUCUGUUGUUAGAGAAGAACAAGUGCUAGAGUAACUGUUAGCGCCUUGACGGUAUCUAACCAGAAAGCCACGGCUAGCUACGUG
rnacentral:rRNA from 1 species